UUUUAUAUUCGGUCUUAUCCGAUUUUAUAUAAAUUUAACAUCUCAUUCUUGGAAUUGUGGGGAGAAGUAAAAGAUGCAAUUUUAGAAUUCCACAGGAAGGAAGCGGUACAAUACAACAAGAGAUAAUCGAUGAGAUACAGACCGCUGGCCAACAAAAUAAUACCCAUCAAAUCAUAUUAUCUUGGACACUGCAACCUACACUUCCUAGAAGCAAGAACUACACUGGACUAUUAGAUACUGCCGGAGACAAAUUGAUCCCAUUCCACCAUUACUUGAGCAACAUCCUUCAAGCUUGGACUGCUAUUCGCUUCUUCCUCGUAUACCUUUUGAAUCUGGAUGGAAGGGUGAUGGCAGAAAAAGCUGUGGGCUAAUCAAGUCUAACAGAGCUUAACCACCUCCCUGCGGGGAUUAUCCGUCCAUGCAGCUUACAGCGAGACUGUAAGCACCCCACGCCAACUUGCACUGAUAUAUUCCUCCCAGCCCUUUCUC
rnacentral:lncRNA from 1 species